GCCAGCAUGGCAUAGUGGUUUUAGUGUUGGACUAUGACUCUGCAGACCAGGGUUCAAUUCCCUGUGCAGUCA